rnacentral:tRNA from 1 species
GGCGGCAUAGCUCAGUUGGUAGAGCAAACGGCUCAUAUCCGUUCGGUCAGGGGUCCGAGUCCCUUUGCCGCUAC